rnacentral:rRNA from 1 species
AUUGAACGCUGGCGGCAUGCCUUACACAUGCAAGUCGAACGGCAGCUCGGACUUCGGUCUGGCGGCGAUUGGCGAACGGGUGAGUAAUACAUCUGAACUUACCCUGUCUUGGGGGAUAACUAGUCGAAAGAUUAGCUAAUACCGCAUACGACCUGAGGUUGAAAUUGGGUGACCGGAAACUGCCUCAUGCAGCAGGAGCGGCCGAUGUCUGAUUAGCUAGUUGGUGGUGUAAAGGCCCACCAAGGCGGCGACCAGUAGCUGGUCUCAGAGGACGAUCAGCCACACGGUGACUGAGAAUCAGCACCGACACCUAGACGAGGACGCAGUGGGGAAUUUUGGAGAAUGCAGGAGUCCCUAAUCCAGCAAUGUCGCGUGUGUCCAGAAGCACUUCGGCUUGUAAAGCAAUUAUGUCCGGAAAGAAAUCGCGCUGGUUAAUACCUGGCGUGGAUGACGGUACCGGAAGAAUAAGCACCGGCUAACUACGUG